GCCCACUGGUAGGUGGGUAGAAUAUACCAAGGGGAGCGAUAGAACCCUCGUUAAGGAAUUAGGCAAAUUUCCCCCGUACGUUCGCAAUAAGGGGGGCCUCUGGUGGUGAGCUUAAUCGCAAAGCUGCUGGAGGCCGCAGAGAAAUGGCUCUUCCAACUGUUUAACAAAAACACAGGUCUCUGCUAAGUCGAAAGACGAAGUAUAGGGGCUGACGCCUGCCCAGUGCUGGAAGGUUAAGGGGAGAGGUUAGGCGCAAGCCGAAGCUUUGAGCCGAAGCCCCAGUGAACGGCGGCCGUAACAAUAACGGUCCUAAGGUAGCGAAAUUCCUUGUCGGGUAAGUUCCGACCCGCACGAAUGGCGUAAUGAGAGGAGCACUGUCUCAACGAGGGACUCGGCGAACAUUGAAGGACGUGUGAAGAUACACGUGACCCGCAGCGGGACAAAAAGACCCCGUGAAGCUUUACUACAACUUGCCAUUGAGUUAGGGCUAAACCUGUGUAGUAUAGGUGGGAGGCUUUGAAGCUGGGACGCCAGUCUCGGUGGAGCCACCGUUGAAAUACCACCCUGGUUUAUUCUUGGCUCUAACCUGUCGCCGUUAUCCGGCAUGGGAACAGUGGCUGGUGGGUAGUUUGACUGGGGCGGUCGCCUCCGAAAGCGUAACAGAGGCGCCCAAAGGUUCCCUCAGGCUGAAUGGAAACCAGCCGUUGAGUGUAAAGGCACAAGGGAGCUUGACUGCAAGACCAACAAGUCGCGCAGGGACGAAAGUCGGGCUUAGUGAUCCCACGGUUCAGAGUGGAAUGGCCGUGGCUUACCGGAUAAAAGCUACUCCGGGGAUAACAGGGUAGUCUGGUCCAAGAGUUCAUAUCGACGACCAGGUUCGCCACCUCGAUGUCGGCUCAUCACAUCCUGGGGCUGGAUAAGGUCCCAAGGGUUGGGCUGUUCGCCCAUUAAAGUGGUACGUGAGCUGGGUUCAGACCGUCGUGAGACAGGUCGGUCUCUAUCCGCUGUGGGCGUAAGGGAUUUGAGAUAAGCUGCCCCUAGUACGAGAGGACCGGGGUGGACGGACCUCUAGUGUGCCAGUUGUUCUGCCAAGAGCAUUGCUGGGUAGCUACGUCCGGCAGAGAUAACCGCUGAAAGCAUCUAAGUGGGAAACUCGUCUCAAGAUUAGAUCCCUCAUCCGUAUGGAGUAAGACCGCUAGAAGACUACUAGUUUGAUAGGCGGCAGGUGUAAGCGCAGUAAUGUGUUCAGCUUAGCCGUAAUGGUCGAGGGCUUACGUUU
rnacentral:rRNA from 1 species